rnacentral:lncRNA from 1 species
AGUAAGGAGUCCUUUAUUUGUUGUAGAUCCUUGUCGCCCAUGAGUGAUGGACGCUGUAUGGUUAUGCAGUGCUGCUGGUGUGAAGGUUAUUACCCUUUAUGGUUUAUUUUUCUUUGAUCAUAUCUUCUUUCCAUCUAUAUCUACUUCAAAUAUUCUUUCCAUGGAAUCUCAACCGAUUGGGUUUGUAAUAGGAGGUUUGGAUCAUGCAGUUUGCAGAUAUUCAAUUAUAAAAUAUUUGUGGUUCAUCAGUUCCUUUUGUGCAUGUUGUGAAGAAUGUGUCAUAUGAGCCAAGAUUCAAACGCUUCUGGAUGUGAAUUUGACAAAACGGAUCAUCUUAGGUACUAAUAGAAAUAUUUACUUCCAAAUUUCCAAUUUCUCCUUCAUGUGGCCAUGUUACAGAUAUUUGAUUAAAAAAAUCUUUACUACACAUGAUCUGCCUAUGUUACAAAUAUUUGAUUAAAAAAUUCUGUUUCAACGGAUAUUGGAUUUUGUUACGGUCUGGUUCAUUCUCACUGUUGUUUAAUCUUUCAGUUUGGGGGUGUCUCUCUUCUGUAUAUUGAUAACUAUCUGUUUCUAGUAGGAUGAGUGUCCUGAAGAAUCGGAAGAUGCUGCAAAACAUGAUGAUGUGAUACUGCCAUGCUAUUUCUACCGGUCUCUCUGCUAGUGCCUUAUCGCUCGUUCACCAAUCUCCAUCCUCACCAUGGUCUCUGUACUCAACAAGGGUGAACUCUACAAGUUCUAGUAGGCUCCUCGGUGACUCCUCACAGGAGAGCUUUUGGCCUGAUCUGAUGGAGCUGAGAGGUAUGCAUGCAAGUUUAGCUGAUUUCCUUUACUGAUCUGUAGCGGCAUAGUUGAUUUGUCACAGUAAAAGAGAUAGGGCGGUCUGAUUGUGCAAAAUGAACUCUACAUAUGUAUAGCUCUUAGUUCUUGUUACAGUCAAACAUGAACCAUUUCCACAUAGAAAACCAUUAAUUAGAGAUGUAAAACGAAAGGCUUAUAGCAUUCUGUUGUCCAACUGUUUAUAUUUUUUAGAACUCUAUUCUCAAAAUUAUAAUCCCAAGUAAUGCUGCAACAGGUCAAAGGAAGAAGUCAAACCUGAAGAAGUGCAGGGAGGAAAUUACAGCUGCGUGUGUCCGGCUGGUUCAGGGGAUGUGCAGGGCGGCCGUAGCCAUGCGGGUGUCGAGGCAGGCGAUCUCGCGGAUGGAUGCCAUGCUGCGAGGGUAGGUUCCUGGGCGCCCGCUACGUUGAUGACGGAUUCCACGCUGCGAGCGGCAACAAUCGGCGACAAUCGGCGAUGGCGAUCGUGCAGGGAGGCGACGGUGUUGGUGGGCGGCAUCUGGUGCGGUGGUGACUCAAGGCAGACAAACGUCGAGGUCAAGGGCGAGGGAGCAGAUUUGAUUGAGUUUCCUUAGUUUGCGAUUUGAUUGCGUGAUUGUAGGGAAACACGGGAGGGAGCAGAUUUGGUUGUGUUUCCUUAGUUUGCGAUCUGAUUGCGUGAUUGCAGGGAAACAUGGGAUUGGUUGUUGGAAUACUCCUCUGGUGGUGGAGUACGGUCAGUCAUUAGAAAUUGCUAAGUACACACCAUCCCGCUAUUAGAUAAAUGAUGGCCGUUAGAUUGAAAUUUGUGGGACUAAUCGUGUGGUUCUGACUGGGUUGUGCGGUGUUGUGGGGGCUAAUAGUGGGGUGCGUGUAAGAAAGUUUUUGUUCGAUUGUUCAAUAGUAGUGGAGAAGUGGAGAUAAUCGUGUGGUUCUGACUGGGUUGUGCGGUGUUGUGGGGGCUAAUAGUAGGGUGCGUGUAAGAAAGUUCUUGUUCGAUUGUUUAAUAGUAGUGGAGAUAAGAAAGUUCUUGUUCGAUUGUUUAAUAGUAGUGGAGAAGUGGAGAUAAUCGUGUGGUUCUGACUGGGUUGUGCGGUGUUGUGGGGGCUAAUAGUG